GAGAUGGCUUAGUGGUCAAGAGCACUGGCUGCUCUUCCAGAGGACCUGGGUUCAGUUCCCAGUACUCA
rnacentral:tRNA from 1 species